rnacentral:rRNA from 1 species
AGAGUUUGAUCCUGGCUCAGAUUGAACGCUAGCGGGAUGCUUUACACAUGCAAGUCGAACGGCAGCACGAGAGAGCUUGCUCUCUUGGUGGCGAGUGGCGGACGGGUGAGUAAUAUAUCGGAACGUGCCCAGUAGCGGGGGAUAACUACUCGAAAGAGUGGCUAAUACCGCAUACGCCCUACGGGGGAAAGGGGGGGAUUCUUCGGAACCUCUCACUAUUGGAGCGGCCGAUAUCGGAUUAGCUAGUUGGUGGGGUAAAGGCUCACCAAGGCAACGAUCCGUAGCUGGUUUGAGAGGACGACCAGCCACACUGGGACUGAGACACGGCCCAGACUCCUACGGGAGGCAGCAGUGGGGAAUUUUGGACAAUGGGGGAAACCCUGAUCCAGCCAUCCCGCGUGUAUGAUGAAGGCCUUCGGGUUGUAAAGUACUUUUGGCAGAGAAGAAAAGGUAUCUCCUAAUACGAGAUACUGCUGACGGUAUCUGCAGAAUAAGCACCGGCUAACUACGUGCCAGCAGCCGCGGUAAUACGUAGGGUGCAAGCGUUAAUCGGAAUUACUGGGCGUAAAGCGUGUGUAGGCGGUUCGGAAAGAAAGAUGUGAAAUCCCAGGGCUCAACCUUGGAACUGCAUUUUUAACUGCCGAGCUAGAGUAUGUCAGAGGGGGGUAGAAUUCCACGUGUAGCAGUGAAAUGCGUAGAUAUGUGGAGGAAUACCGAUGGCGAANGCAGCCCCCUGGGAUAAUACUGACGCUCAGACACGAAAGCGUGGGGGAGCAAACAGGAUUAGAUACCCUNGNANUCCACGCCCUAAACGAUGUCAACUAGCUGUUGGGGCCGUUAGGCCUUANUANCGCANCUNACGCGUGAAGUUGACCGCCUGGGGAGUANGGUCGCAAGAUUAAAACUCAAAGGAAUUGACGGGGACCCGCACAAGCGGUGGAUG